rnacentral:tRNA from 1 species
GGAGGCGCACCUCUUCUGGUGAAGGGCCUGGGCUUCAAACCCUGCGUGGGGCGGCGAGAGUCGUCCCGGGUGAGUUCGAUUCUCACACGCCUCCGCCA